rnacentral:rRNA from 1 species
UACGUAGGGGGCUAGCGUUGUCCGGAAUCAUUGGGCUUAAAGCGCGUGUAGGCGGGACGGCACGUCGGUCGCUGAAGUCCCCCGGCUCAACCGGGGAACGGGCGCCGAUACGACCGCCCUGGAGGGGCGUAGGGGGACCUGGAACUUCCGGUGGAGCGGUGAAAUGCGCAGAUAUCAGGAGGAACACCGAUGGCGAAGGCAGGUCUCUGGGCCACUACUGACGCUGAGAAGCGAAAGCAUGGGGAGCGAACAGG